rnacentral:rRNA from 18 species
GAGUGGCGCACGGGUGCGUAACGCGUAUGCAAUCUGCCCUUUUCUGGAGAAUAGCCCUUAGAAAUGAGGAUUAAUACUCCAUAGUAUCAUUCUUUCGCAUGUUAGAAUGAUUAAAGCUUCGGCGGAAAAGGAUGAGCAUGCGUCCCAUUAGCUUGUUGGUGAGGUAACGGCUCACCAAGGCCACGAUGGGUAGGGGGCCUGAGAGGGUUAUCCCCCACACUGGUACUGAGACACGGACCAGACUC